rnacentral:tRNA from 1 species
GCCCGAGUGGCGGAACUGGCAGACGCGCAGCGUUCAGGUCGCUGUAUGGGUAACCAUGUACAGGUUCGAAUCCUGCCUCGGGCAUCA